UACAGAGGGUGCGAGCGUUAAUCGGAAUUACUGGGCGUAAAGCGUGCGUAGACGGCUAUCUAAGUCGGGGGUGAAAUCCUGGAGCUCAACUCCAGAACUGCCUUCGAUACUGGAAAGCUCGAGUCCGGGAGAGGUGAGUGGAACUGCGAGUGUAGAGGUGAAAUUCGUAGAAUAUUCGCAAGAACACCAGUGGCGAAGGCGGCUCACUGGCCCGGUACUGACGCCUGAGGUGCGAAAGCGUGGGGAGCAAACAGGAUUAGAUACCC
rnacentral:rRNA from 1 species